CAUCUUUUUGUACAAAAUAACAGGGGUGCAGAUCUGUGAAACGCCAGGUUUACACACUUCACAGCAUUCACCAUAGCAUAUACCCUCCCCAAUGUCCAUAACCA